CUCACAGACUCUGCAGCAGGGUUUCUAUGAUUAACUCUUAAGUACUCCACAACUACACGCUUUUGAAACUGGCGUUGGCAUAGCGUUAGUUCUGUGCAGGGCGGACGCAGCAGGACAGAAUCUCCCUGGGCAUCUUUUCGGAGCAUCAAUUUUACUGCAAAAUUUUGAAAAAACAAAUUUAAUUGAUUUCCAAGGUUUGUCAAGGAGGACAGAAACUCAGAGCACCCUGCACUUGGGGAUCGGCACUAGGAGCUGCUCUCUGGAUGGGGAGAUGGGAGCUAGCAGCUCACAAUGGGGUCACAAGAAUAUUGGUUCUUCUUUUAUCUGAACUGAGGAGCACCAGAGGACUGAUCAUGGCAUAGACAUUCACUACAAGACUCUGAACUUGCUGGUUGAUUGGGCCAUAUGCCCACAACAUUGCUGAGGAGAAGGAGAUGAUGAAAUCCACCCAACAGAGGACCACAGAGAAACUUACCAGCAGCAGUAUGGUCUGGAUGGCCCAUUUCUCAGGGGAAGCUCCUGGGGAAGGACCAUUGCUGUGAAGGUGGUGGGAUCACCUCUGAGGCCUGAAUAAGAGAGUCACCAUGUAUGCAAUUAAGAACAGCAGUAUUCCUACCAGGAAAGCAUCCCUAAGUGUUGUCAGAAUAAGAAACGUGGCCCUGAGGAUGAAGCUCAUGGAGAAAACUGGGCAGUACUUACCUAUAUUCAGUACAUUUGUCUGGCUCACACUGGAAGCAGCUACAGUGUAGAAGAUCCUGUUACUACUGAAAGACAAGUUGAGGAACCAUAAGAAGAAGAAAACAUGGAUAAUGUAAUUUGAAGAUUUAUGUUUAAACCUUGCCAAUCAGGAGGUGCUGGGGCUGAUGGUGGUGGCCUGGAACACACUCAGGGGGCAGGUGGUGCAGAUGGAGAGGCCCCACAACACCCUGCUCAGGUGGAAAAGUGCCUUACACUUGAAGUCAUUCUGAAGUUCAAUGAUGCAAACAGGUUUGGAGACUGCAAUAACAGUGCAAUGAAGAAGUUCACUAUGUGGACGAGGGGCAAGGGACAGAUGAUCAAGUCAGUGGGUUUUAGUCUGUGAUACAGAAGGAGAGUGAAGAUGCUGAAGAGGAACAGAAAAGUAUUGGCUGAGAUUCCAACAGCAACUUGUAAAACAAAGCAGCUUUUUAAUAACAUAUAUGAUAUGUAUGUACAUUGUAGUGGCAAAGAGGAAACAUUUGUAUAUCUGAAAAAACAAGUUUAGACAUCUUCAGUGCUGUUCUAUAGUUAAAAUUAUCACAACUAUGAUUAUGUUUAUUUCUCCCAAUUAUUAAGACUUACAAUGUAAUAUAAAUUAUUAGAAAAUACUCCUUCAGCAUUACAUGUAUUUAUUUGCACAAUGCUUCAGUGUGUGUGUGAGACACUAUACAUAAAUGUAUAUGUCAGCAUUACACAUAUAUAUAGUCAGCAUUAAUUUUAUGCCAAGUAACAUAUAUAUAAUGUGUUUGUGCAUAAUCGUUUUUUUUUGUUUUGUAGGGACAGGAUCUUAUUCUGUUGCCCAGCCUGGUCUCAAGUCCAUGGGCUCAAGUAAUCCUUCUGCCUUGGCCUCCCAAAG
rnacentral:lncRNA from 1 species